AUUGAACGCUGGCGGCAGGCCUAACACAUGCAAGUCGAGCGGAUGAAGGGAGCUUGCUCCUGGAUUCAGCGGCGGACGGGUGAGUAAUGCCUAGGAAUCUGCCUGGUAGUGGGGGAUAACGUCCGGAAACGGGCGCUAAUACCGCAUACGUCCUGAGGGAGAAAGUGGGGGAUCUUCGGACCUCACGCUAUCAGAUGAGCUUAGGUCGGAUUAGCUAGUUGGUGGGGUAAAGGCCUACCAAGGCGGCGAUCCGUAACUGGUCUGAGAGGAUGAUCAGUCACACUGGAACUGAGACACGGUCCAGACUCCUACGGGAGGCAGCAGUGGGGAAUAUUGGACAAUGGGCGAAAGCCUGAUCCAGCCAUGCCGCGUGUGUGAAGAAGGUCUUCGGAUUGUAAAGCACUUUAAGUUGGGAGGAAGGGCAGUAAGUUAAUACCUUGCUGUUUUGACGUUACCAACAGAAUAAGCACCGGCUAACUUCGUG
rnacentral:rRNA from 1 species